rnacentral:rRNA from 1 species
AUGGACGGGCCCGUAGAGGAUCCCUUCCUCCUCCUUUCGCCGGAGCUCGUCGAGGAGGUCCUCCUCCGCCUUCCGCCGGAGGAGCCCGCCUGGCUCGUCCGCGCCUCCGCCGUCCGCAAGCCCUGGCGCCGCAUCCUCGCCAACGACGGCUUUCGCGGCCGCUACCGCGAGUUCCACGGAGCACCUCCGGUCCUCGGGAUCGUCCAAGAGGACGCCAGCUUCCUCCCCAUAUCGGCGCUCCCUGCCCAUCCUGUGCGCCCCCGCUGGGCUAAAGUGAAGGCCCUGGACUGCCGCCACGGCCGCUACCUAUUCGAGUCCUACAGCAGGUACUUCGGGGAAGGGGAGCCCGUUUACAUAACCAUCGCGGACCCUCUGACGGGCCACGAGCUCCGCCUGCGCACACCGGUGGACGACGGCGUGCUCUGGUUCAGCGCGGCGGUGCUCUGCGCCGCACAAGGCUGCGACCACCACGGUUGCCAGGGAGGGCAUUUCCGUGUGGUCAUCCUGACCACCAAUCAUCAGAAGAAAGUCACAUCGGGAUGGAUGUACUCGUCGGAGACUCGUGUGUGGAGCGACCUCACCUCAGCUCAUCACCCCAAUAUCACCAAGUAUACCUUUAACCGUGGUUCGCCAAGCGUCCUUGUGGGUGAUGCACUCUACUUUGACUUGGAUGGCAUUAUCGAGUGCCAACUUGGUACUCUAAACUUGUCAAUGUUUGAGAGGCCGACCGAUGCCAAAGGGCGUCUUAUGACGGUGGAAGACGGCGGGCUGGGAUUCGCUGCCGUGGUUGAUGUUACAAAUCUAGCCAUUUGGUCAAUGCAGACCGGACCAGAGGGAGCCAUGGGAUGGGGAAAACUCAGGGUAAUCGAUCUUACGACGCUGCUCCCUGACACGGCCCUUUCCAUCCCAGCACCUGAAGAUGGAAUUAGUGGCAUCGCCGAAGGCACCCAAAUCAUUUUUGUGAGCAUGUGUGAUCGUAAUGGUACUUAUAUGGUCGAUCUCAAGUCAAGGCGAGUUAGGAAGGUAUCUGAUCCUGGCAGAAAAGUCUUUCCCUACAUGAGAUUCUACAUCCCAGCAAUGGAAGCAGCUUCUAUGGGCCAGGGGCAGUGA